rnacentral:lncRNA from 1 species
CUUGCAGUCAUGAUUUUCAUGAGCAUCGUUAAAAAUGUCAGUAAGAUGAUUUGAACCUCGACAAUCCCAAUUCCUCUGAAUAUGCUACUCAUCCUCUGGAUCCCAUUGAAAUUAUUUCUAUAAAAAGACUAAAAAAAAUUUAGUAUCAAUAAAAUAUAUAGAUACUUUAAAUCAAAUGAAAGCAAACAAAAGAACCUAAUAAACUUAAAAAUAUUUUUGCCUCAAACUCAUGAAACCAU